UGGGRAUCUGGCUUAUGGAGGGGGAUAACCAUUGGAAACGGUGGCUAAUACCGCAUGAUGUCGCAAGACCAAAGUGGGGGACCUUARGGCCUCACGCCAUGAGAUGAACCCAGAUGAGAUUAGCUAGUAGGUGCGGUAAUGGCGUACCUAGGCGACGAUCUCUAGCUGGUCUGAGAGGAUGACCAGCCACACUGGAACUGAGAGACGGUCCAGACUCCUACGGGAGGCAGCAGUGGGGAAUAUUGCACAAUGGGCGGAAGCCUGAUGCAGCCAUGCCGCGUGUGUGAAGAAGGCCUUAGGGUUGUAAAGCACUUUCAGCGGGGAGGAAGGCGGUAAGAGUAAUAUGCUUAUCRAUUGACGUUACCCGCAAAAGAAGCACCGGCUAACUCCGUGCCAGCAGCCGCGGUAAUACGGAGGGUGCGAGCGUUAAUCGGAAUAACUGGGCGUAAAGRGCAUGUAGGCGGUAAGUUAAGUCAGAUGUGAAAUCCCCGAGCUUAACUUGGGAACGGCAUUUGAGACUGGCUGGCUAGAGUUUUGUAGAGGGGGGUAGAAUUCCAGGUGUAGCGGUGAAAUGCGUAGAGAUCUGGAGGAAUACCGGUGGCGAAGGCGGCCCCCUGGACAAGGACUGACGCUGAGGUGCGAAAGCGUGGGUAGCAAACAGGAUUAGAUACCCUGGUAGUCCACGCUGUAAACGAUGUCGAUUUGGAGGUUGUGACCUAGUGUUAUGG
rnacentral:rRNA from 1 species